UGAUACGUGAUACGUCAGGGUGGGUAGAGGGGAAAUGCAGUGUUUCAUGGCUCCCGCAGUGCAGGGGCUAUGAGUGGUAACAGGUGAUGGAGGUGUUUGAUGUCUUUGAACGAGCCAACCACGUCCUGGAGCAGAUGAGAUUAAUUUCAGUCCAUCUUAGCUAGAGGGUCAGUGUUUCCCUGCAGAAGGAAGUCCUCUGAGCUGUGACAGGCAGUGAUGUCACUUCUAAGCCGGCCUCCACUUGGGGAGACAAAAGGGCCUAGAAUCCUCUGCCUCAUUGCUCAUGCUCCAAAAGCCUGAGACAGAGGGUUUGGCCUCCUCUUGCCCCUGCUAUGGUCACCAGUGUCCUUUGCUGUGUGGUCCUUUGUUUCCUAGGAGCAGAUGCUGGAGUCACCCAGACACCAAGGCACGUGGUGACAGGGAAAGAGCAAGCAGUAAAUUUGAGCUGCAAGCCUAUUUCAGGCCAUACCGCACUUUUCUGGUACAGACAGUUCAUGGGGCAAAGUCUGGAACUGCUGAUUUACUUUAAUAACCAGCAACCCAUAGAUGAUUCAGGGAUGAUCAAAGGGCGGUUCUCAGCUGAGAUGCUUAGUGCAUCCUCCUCCACCCUGAAAAUUCAGCCGGCAGAACCCAAGGACUCAGCUGUGUAUUUCUGUGCCAGCAGCUUAGCCACAGCGCUGCAGAACCAUGCCCUGCCUGUGCAGAAACUCUUGUGCUUCCUCUUAUCUGUCCACCUCCCUCAGCUCUCAGAAGCUGUUUGAGGCUCCUCCCCAACACAGGAAGGACAUGGGUUUGGUGCCAUAUCUGUUUGGAGGCAAGGCAAAAACAGACUACAGAGAAGUAUGACAGGAGCAACUCUUGGAGCAAGGCAAUUCAGGAGACUGGCUCCGGGGAGGUCUCAGAACUUUCUCACAAGACUGAAUGAGUCCAAGCCUGAUGGCCAGUGGCACACACAGGAUGGUGACUUCGCCCUUUUGCUUUCUGUUAUGGCUUCUCCACUGUUUCUUGUCUCUUCUGCUUUAAGACUCCCAGCUUCUUUGGUGGGUUCCACCACCUGCAUGAUACCUUGGCUCUUCAGUUUCUGUACUUCUGCACUUCCAAUGAUCACUGCCUCCAGUCCCAUGCAGGUAUUCUUUCUCACUCUCCUAUUUUAGCCUCCAGUCAUUUGAACAGCUUCCAGAAGAGCUCUCUUGGAAUACACAGCAAGACUAUCUUUUCCCUUCUUCUCUUUUCCGUCUCUGUUACUACUUCUGCAGCAACGCUUCCUUCCAUCAGAACACUAAUGGUACCUUCUGUAAAAGGCUCUGUGUGUCACUGCAGUAUACACUUAACU